rnacentral:tRNA from 1 species
AGCGGAUAUGGCUCAAUAGGUAGAGCGAUAGACUGUGGAUCUAUAGGUUAUGGGUUCGAACCCCAUUAUCCGCC